rfam:Rachicladosporium antarcticum strain CCFEE 5527 scaffold_18, whole genome shotgun sequence.
CUAACUCAUCUCACAGUAUCUGUUCUUUUCAGUUUAAUCGCUGAAACUCGACUACGGUCGAUUUACGAUUAUAAUUAUUUUUCGCCCCCGCGAGGUGCUCCCUGAGCUUGCUCACAGUAUCCUUGCACCGUGUCCUUGGCCUUGCACUACCGCCUUGUGACGCAAACUACA